GACCGAGCGAGACGAAGAAGUAAGUCCCCUGUUUUCUUUCCGAAACUAGCGAAGGACUUCAGAUUAAGCGAGGAGCGAGAUUGGUCUGGUGCUGGUGGGGAAUUGUUGGAGGAUGUAUUUACUUUAUCGUAUUUCCAUUUUGACGAUAAAGUCUUGAUGAUUGAUAUACUUUGAUUUUCUUUAGAAUUUAAGCAAUGUACUCACAGUUAUAUGUCUUCAUACAUAUAAUCGAUUCGCCUUUUGCUGCGAUACUCUGCAUAUUAUGAUUCCUUACGAAAAAUGAGCGAUACCCGUUUUGUUUU